AACCGUGUGAUGAACACAAAGCGAAUUAUUCUUUCGCCUUUUACUAAAGAAUACCGUGUGUUCGUCACUCAAAGCGGUAUACGCCUGUUUUUGGAAGAGCCUUCAAUUAUUGAGGGCU
rfam:Glycine soja cultivar W05 scaffold1624_36, whole genome shotgun sequence.